GCACAUACCAAUAGAUAGGCAAGGCACCACGGCCAUGGUAAGAAACUCCAGGAGUGCAAGGGUAGGUGUAUUUGUAGUAAUCAUCACAAUACAAUUUGCUGGGACUCAUUUCUUUGUUGUAGCAUAGACCCCAAGCCAAUGGUCCCCCAGUUGCCACUCCAUAACCACCUGCAAUUAUUCAAAACUAAGUGCCAUUCUACAUAUAAUUCAUACACUACUACAAUGGAACAUGUAUGGAUUCAUCUAGAAGCUUUGAAACCCAAAAAAGAAAAUCUAGAAGCUAUAUUUUGCCUUGCUUUUUAUUCAUUUAUUUUUAACUAAUUUUGUAUGGUAAACCUAGACAAAAAUGGUGUCGUGGUGUAGUUGGUUAUCACGUCAGUCUAACACACUGAAGGUCUCCAGUUCGAGUCUGGGCGACGCCAUUGUUUUUUCCUAAGUUUAGUUUUGUGGCUUUCUUACAUGAAGUCUUGCUGCCGACAUGUCCAAGAAAAGCUGCCAAUUCCUUCAUGCUCUGGAGCUUACCGCCGGUGGUACCAAAACCAUGAGGCUGAUACUGAGCCGCCGCCGUAAUGAAAGAAUGGUAAUCCCAGAACCCAACCGCAUGUGCCACCGGU
rnacentral:lncRNA from 1 species